rnacentral:rRNA from 1 species
AGAGUUUGAUCCUGGCUCAGGAUGAACGCUGACAGAAUGCUUAACACAUGCAAGUCAUUGGCGAAGCUGCGCUUGCGCAGUCUAGCCAAGGCGGACGGGUGAGUAACGCGUAAGGAACUUGCCCUGCAGACAGGGAUAACAGACGGAAACGACUGAUAACACCUGGUAUUGUCAGGCUGGCGCAUGCCGGCCUGAUGAAAGGAGACGCUGCAGGAGAGCCUUGCGUCCUAUUAGCUAGUUGGUGGGGUAACGGCUCACCAAGGCGAUGAUAGGUAGCCGGCCUGAGAGGGUGAACGGCCACAAGGGGACUGAGAUACGGCCCUUACUCCUACGGGAGGCAGCAGUGGGGAAUAUUGGACAAUGGGGGCAACCCUGAUCCAGCAAUUCUGUGUGCACGAAGAAGGUUUUCGGAUUGUAAAGUGCUUUCAGCAGGGAAGAAGAAAGUGACGGUACCUGCAGAAGAAGCGACGGCUAAAUACGUGCCAGCAGCCGCGGUAAUACGUAUGUCGCGAGCGUUAUCCGGAAUUAUUGGGCAUAAAGGGCAUCUAGGCGGCCGGAUAAGUCUGGGGUGAAAACUUGCGGCUCAACCGCAAGCCUGCCCUGGAAACUAUGCGGCUAGAGUACUGGAGAGGUGGACGGAACUGCACGAGUAGAGGUGAAAUUCGUAGAUAUGUGCAGGAAUGCCGAUGAUGAAGAUAGUUCACUGGACGGUAACUGACGCUGAAGUGCGAAAGCUAGGGGAGCAAACAGGAUUAGAUACCCUGGUAGUCCUAGCUGUAAACGAUGAUUACUGGGUGUGGGCAUGAAGAGUGUCCGUGCCGAAGCAAAUGCGAUAAGUAAUCCGCCUGGGGAGUACGGCCGCAAGGCUGAAACUCAAAGGAAUUGACGGGGACCCGCACAAGCGGUGGAGCAUGU